GGGACUUUGGAGUCCUUGUGCAAGACUGCCAGAAAGUUAAUUUACAGGUUGAGUCUGUGGUAAAGAAGGCAAAUGCAAUGUUGGCAUUUAUUUGCGUUGAAUUGACUUUAUUACUUACAUGCUUCAUAUAAAUGAGGAGUAAAAAUCUUUACAUUACGUCUCCGUCUAAAUGUGCAAUGUACAAUUUAUAUUAGUAUAAUAAAUAUUAUGUACAACAAUAUAACAUAGAAAUACAGUUAUGUCAGCAUGAAUUAAUCAGUCUGAUGGCCUGGUGGAAGAAGCUGUCCUGGAGCCUGUUGGUCCUGGCUUUUAUGCUGCUGUACCGCUUCCCAGAUGGUAGCAGCUGGAACAGUUUGUGGUUGGGGUGACUCGGGUCCCCAAUGAUCCUUCGGGCCUUUUUAACACACCUGUCUUUGUAAAUGUCCUGAAUAGAGCGAGGUUCGCAUCUACAGAUGCGCUGGGCUGUCCGCACCACUCUCUGCAGAGUCCUGCGAUUGAAGGAAGGACAGUUCCCACACCAGGCUAUGAUGCAGCCAGUCAGGAUGCUCUCAAUUGUGCCCCUGUAGAAAGUUCUUAGGAUUUGGGGGCCCAUACCAAACUUCUUUAACCGUCUGAGGUGAAAGAGGCACUGCUGUGUCUUUGUCACCACACGAUCAGUAUGUACAGACCACGUGAGAUCCUCAGUGAUGUUUACACCGAGAAACUUAAAGCUGUUCACACGCUGAACCCCAAAUCCAUUGACGUUAAUAGGGGUGGGCCCGUCUCCAUUCCUCCUGUAGUCCACAACCAGCUCCUUUGUUUAUGUGACAUUGAGGGAGAGGUUGUUUUCUUGACACCACUGCGUUAGUGUUGGUGUUGCAUACUGAACUGUAGUUCAAGAACAGCAUUCUCACAUAAGCAUCCUUCUCCUGAUGUCUAAGGAUGGCGUGUAGAGCUGUGGCUAUUGUCAAGCGGUUGGGUUGGUAAGGAGCCCACUUGAUGGGCUGAAUGGCCUAAUUCUGGCCUAAAUGAGGAAGGGAAAGGAGAUCAAGUAGGAAGCACUAGAGACACAUUCUGUAAUGAUCAAUAAACCAAUCGUUUGGAAUCAAAUGACCUUGCCUGGUGUCUCAGGGAUGUGUGUGUCUGCACCAGCACCCCCCUCCAGCACUCCUUCUCUGCCACCUGUCCCAUACCCCUCCCGCAGUGCUCCAUCCUCACCAUCCCCUAAGUCCUUUGCUCCUGCCAGGUAUACAAACUUGCUGUCUGCUCCACAUUGACAAAGACAGUACCGGGCAAAAGUCUUACGCACCCUGAGUCUUUUGCACAAUACUGUAACUCGGAUCCAGCUGAAUAACAUAUGUUGUAAAAUUUUCUGUUUGGCAGCAACCGUACUGUGCAAUACAUGAAAUAUUCUAUAAAUUGCAAUAAGAAAUAUAUAUUAAAAAUAGAGAAGUAGUGCAAACUGAAAGCAAGAAUAAUGAUGUAGUGUUGAUGGGUUCAUAGACCUUGUACAGGGUAGCUUGAGGCCCUCUUCAUCAUUGCCAGUGACCCUAAACAGGUCCAAUUCAAGAGUGUGUUUGUCCCGGAGUCUUGUCCGACUUGAGGCCCAAUUAAACAUCUUUUUGUAAUCAUGCCACGUUGUAGAAGUUGACUGCCCCAAAACUCCAAUUCUCCAACUACAACAUCUUUCUCUUUAGUGAAUGCAGAUGAGAGUAAUUCAUCAGAGACACCCUUAAAGAUUUUCUGUUUCUCCUUAAAAUUCACACAGUACCAGCUAACUGGCAGAGAUUUCAUCACAGUGGAUAAAGAAAAAUUUCACAACAAUACUUCAUGUUAUGCAAGCCGUGGGUCUGUACUAUUUCCGUUCAUUUUAUUGUGUGAUUUUCAAAGAUUGGGCUAUGACACAAGGGCUGGUCAGUCAUCGCACCCGGAGUUCAAGCCUAGACUUUGGGUCCCAUCAUUGGCUAGUCCGAGGAUUGAUACCGAAGAUUGAAACCUGAGGGUCGAUUGGAAAUCAAAGCCCGAUGCCUGAAGCCUGGAGCCUGAAUGCCUGGAGGUCUGUUCUGGACUUGGAGGACCAAAGGCCUGUCCUGGAGUAUGUGUAUGCGUGUGGGGGGGAAGGAAAGGGGCUGGUUUUGCUGUUGUUGUUUUGUUGCUUGGUGUGUUCUGUGUUGAUCUGCUGAACAUUGUGGGCAUGUCAAGUCAGCACCGGAAUGUGUGACGACAUGUGUUGGAGUUGGACUUUGGAGUUCAUUUCCGACAUCACCUGUUAGGAGUGGUUGCUGAGUGGUGCUGAUCACUGGGCCGGAAGGGCAUGUUCCACGCUGUAUCUCUAAAUAAAAAAUGCAAAUGUCACAUUUAGACAUAGGAACAGAAUUAAGCCAUUCGGCCCAUCAAGCCCGCUCGGUGGUUUAACAUGCACGUGAUAAACAAAUGUAUCUGAAUCUGACUUUCCAGCCUAAUGCUCAGUCUAGGCCUCAGCGGCCUUCCCUUCCUUUGUCCUACAACUCACAAUGAACUUUACUCCUCCCCAGCUCUGAGAGAUGUACAGAUUAUAACCUUGCUAGAUCUGAACAGGCUAAAACAACAACUCGUGCAGCUGGGGUAAAUUUCUAUCUGCCUUGUCACUGUACGAUCAGGUAUUGGUUGACAAACAAGUUUUAAUCUGACACAUUUGGGCAGGAGGGGGUGGAAUUUGAACUUGUGUACCUCAGAUGUUUAUGAUUAACCCAGGGACCAAAUGCCACUGAACAGGUUUGUGCUUAUGUGUAGGGAUGAGUUCUGGGUCUGUGAUAAAAUUAUUCACAUUCUUUUGAUCUAAACUGCAGAUUGACGAGACCAGGGAAACCCAUAGUGUGACCGGUGCAGAACAGGAUGUGAGAUGAAUAAUACUGUCAUGAGUAUCAGGUAGAUGAAGUAGAAACCGCAUACUUGAAGAGACGAGAAGUAAUCACUGUGGCAUACACAAAGCAGUUCCAGCAGUGACUGACACAAAGGUUUGUGUCUCAUUUCCGAUCAGGUGGCUCUGAAGCACAUUAUAAACACGAGAUUCUGCAGGUGCUGGAAAUCCAGAGCAACACACACAAAAUGAUGGCAGAUCUGAGCAGGUCGGGCAACAUCAUUGGAAAUGAAUAAACACGCCAAUGAAUCUUGGGCCGAGACCCUUCAUCAGGACUGGAAAGGAAGGGGGAAGAUGCCAGAAUAAGAAGGUACCCUGGAUAUUGGGGAGGCUCGUGGAGCCAGCUGAGUUUACAACUUGCUGCAGCUUUAUCUGAUCCUGUGCAGUGGCCCCAUUCCACAGCAGACAGUGUGGAACAGUUAGACUGCUCUGCACGGCUCAUCUGUAGAAAUCUGCGAGCAUUUUUGCCAGUCCUGAUGAAGCACAGACUGCUCAUUUCCCUCCAUUGAUGCUGCCUGGCCUGCUGAGCUCCUCCAGCAUUUCGUUUGUCCAUGGUAACCAUACUUCACAUUAUUGGAAUGAAAGCACACCAGACCAAUAAGAAAGAACGUUCAAUAUAAGCGGCAAGGGAGAGGGAGAGAAAGAGAGGAAACUCGUUCUACUACCCAUAGAAGACUUCAUAUUCAUGUCAAGACUUUGGAGAUAAAUAUUAUGAGAGCUUGUUUGCAAUUUGGGCAUCUGUUACCCAUGUAUGUAUUUUGGCACGUAAUUAAAUAUUGAGGAUUACAGUGGGUCAAGAUGAAAAAUGUUCUACUGCUGGAACUUACUUCAGUCUUCACUGACGAAGCAAACUCAAUAGGUUAAAUGGCCUACUUCUGCUCCUAAAAGAAAUAGUUCAGGAGAGAGUGGGAAUGGGGGAGGAAGUUCAUGAAGCAGGCAACUGGAUGCUGAGGGUUGGUAUUACUGAGUGAAUGAAAGAGUUCCCUCUCUAACAGUUACCAUUGGUAUGGAACAAAGUGCUUGAAUCAAUCAGACAUACCCAUUCAUUUUUCCCAGCUCACAGCUGCCGGGUCUCAGGUGCAGCUUCUCUGUGAUUGCUAUUUUUACCCAUGCACCACAGAAGGCAUACUGUGCAGAUGAAUCACAGCUUAGGAUGGAAACGGCUCUGCCCGUGACCACAAGAAGCUGCGGACAGCUCUGGACAUAGCUCAACGCUGCCUUAGUAAAGCAGCCCACCCACCUCAGGCAGAAGAUCCGAAACCCUGAUAGCUCACAGCACUAGGCUUGAGGACCACUUCUACCCCACUGUUAUAAGACAUUACAAAAUAAGAUGGACUCUUAGCCUCACAAUCUACCUCGCUAUGGCCUUGCACAUUGUCUGCCUGUGUUACAUGUUCUCACUGACUGUUACACUUUAUUCUGCAUUGUUGUUGUUUUGUGUUGUACUUUCUUGAUUCACUGCAGUGACAUUUCUAUUCAGUUAUUUAGAGAUACACUGUGGAACAGGCCCUUCUGGCCCAACGAGCUGCGUUGCCCAGCAACCCACCUACUUAACACUAGGUUAAUCACAGGACAAUUUACGAUGACAAUUUAAACUACUAACCAGUGCAUCUUUGGACUGUGGGAGGAAACCGGAGCACCCAGAGGAAACCCACACUGUCGGGGGAAGAACGUACAAACUUACAGACGGAGUCUGAUUUGAACUUGGGAUUCCAGAUACCUUGCAGUGUAAUAGCAUUGUGUUAACCACUACGCUAAUGUCGCACGGUACAGAAAUGGCCUGUACGAAUAGCAUGCAGAAGACUUUUCUGUGACCAGAAACAACCAAUUUACUACUUCAUCCUUUUGCCCUGCCAGGAGCGUAACUAGCGACUUUCUCACACCAAGACGUCACCCUGUGCCUUUCAGGUGUUUGAUUUGAGGCUGAGGCCAGGUGUGAAACAUGUUCUCCUCAUUCCUCCCAUUACUGUGACCCACUUUAACCCCCACGAUCCCAAACUCAGCAAAAUGCAGCCUUCUAGCUUCAAAAACUGUCUGGAAAAUUGAAAUGCAACAUUAUUCUUUUCUCCGGAUGUCUUUUGUAUUGGGAGAGUGAAAAUAUGCUGUCAUAUCACCUCAAGUAAAUUAUAUACCAAACCAAUGUGGUCUGUCCUGUAUUGCU